UGCCAAGACCCUCACCCUGUCGCUACUUCUGGCGGGCACUCACUUCCCAUGGUGUGAGAGAGGAGGGCGGGGACACUGCGGGGAACGGGGCGAGGGUGCUGAUCCGCGAUGAUCUCCACGCAGCCGAGCUGCAACGCGAUCCGGACUACGAUCAGAUCGCGGGGCUGGCGCGACUCCUCUGUCCCGACCAGACGUAUCCAUGGGGCGAGGUGACUGAGACGGUCAGUCCCCUAUUCUCCUCCGGUUUGUCAAUGGCAGCUCAUUAGAGUGCCCUGUAGCAAUCCAAUGAUUAUGGGUUGCGAUUUAACCCAAUAUCCAUUUAACGAUAGCCAUGUAGCACUCUGCCUCUACACUCCAAAUUCAUUCUUCGGGAUCUCCAGACAUGUCAGGUAGAAAUAAAUUUUUUUGCCGAUCGAAUCAACACCAAUGGCUUAUAAAUCCCUGCCUGCUCCUUUCGGAGUUUCCAAUCUUAUGAUCGCAAUUUUGAGGCGGUCGGCUCACGCAAGCACAGCGCCUGAAGCGCCUCAACAGUUAGGCCGGACACGUUUAGGGCGGCGGGGGCAUCUAAUCCUGUUUGCUCAUGCACGAAAGCGUGGGGAGCAAACAGGAUUAGAUACCCCGGUAGUCCACGCCCUAAACGAUGUCAACUAGCUGUUGGGGCCUCGGGCCUUGGUAGCGCAGCCAACGCGUGAAGUUGACCGCCUGGGGAGUACGGUCGCAAGAUUAAAACUCAAAGGAAUUGACGGGGUCCGCACAAGCGGUGGAUGAUGUGGAUUAAUUCGAUGCAACGCGAAAACCUUACCUACCCUUGACAUGUCUGGAAUCCCGAAGAGAUUUGGGAGUGCUCGCAAGAGAACCGGAAACACAGGUGCCGCAUGGCUGUCGUCAGCUCGUGUCGUGAGAUGUUGGGUUAAGUCCCGCAACGAGCAACCCUUCGGUCAUUAGUUGCUACGAAAGGGCACCUAAUGAGACUGCCGGUGACAAACCGGAGGAAGGUGGGGAUGACGUCAAGUCCUCAUGGCCCUUAUGGGUAGGGUCAUUGUCAUACAAUGGUCGGGACAGAGGGUCGCCAACCCGCGAGGGGGAGCCAAUCCCAGAAACCCGGAUCGUAGUCCGGAUCGCAGUCUGCAACUCGACUGCGUGAAGUCGGAAUCGCUAGUGUAAUCGCGGAUCAGCAUGUCGCGGUGAAUACGUUCCCGGGUCUUGUACACACCGCCCGUCACACCAUGGGAGUGGGUUUUACCAGAAGUAGUUAGCCUAACCGUAAGGUGGGCGACACGGUAGGAUUCAUGACUGGGGUGAAGUCGUAACAAGGUAG
rnacentral:misc_RNA from 1 species